rnacentral:tRNA from 1 species
GGAGACCUGCUCGAGUGGCUGAAGAGGUACGCUUGGAAAGCGUAUAAACGGGAAACUGUUUCAAGGGUUCGAAUCCCUUGGUCUCCG